ensembl:lncRNA
UGUGUGUGUGUGUGUGUGUGAGUGUGUCCAUGUUUGUGUGUGUGUGUGUGUGUGUGUGUGUGUGUGUGUGUGUUUGUGUGUGCGCAUGUCCAUAUGUGUGUGGCUUCGUCUGAGGUCCCCAGCUCUCAUGGCGAGGAUGUUGUGUUCGGACGUUGGUCUUGGAGGCUGGGGGGUAUUUUAUAGGGUGUUUACAGGGGGCCGCAGAAGAAUGGCCUGAGGGUGUUGUUGUCAUAGGCCCGGGACAAAGACCCCCUCGCUCCGCUGAGCCCAGCCAAUGGGAUCGCUCUAUGUCUUCGGACCCCUGGCCCCUAGAGCCCCGCCCCCUUCAUCAGCAGGCGGGGCCCCCACCUCCAGCCUCUUAUCCUCCCAUCCUUCUCCAUCGCCAGGCGGCGUCUCCUAACGCACUCCCAGCACAACAAACCCUUUGCUUUGGCGGCACCACUCUCUGUGUGAGAAGCAUGAUUUUUGAGAUCUAUUUUUCCCGGCGUUUAUUAUUCCCUUGUGGUGGGGAGAGGGGCUGGAGCGGGGGUUGCGGAGGGGAGAGAGCGACCCGUAGAUACCUGAUAGUGGGCUCGUAACGGUUGUUGUUGACGAUCAGUCGGGGUGAUCUACGGUUGUGUUGUCGUGGUUGAGUGUGUGUCAGGCAUGCAGAGCGUCUGAUGUCAUUCCUCUCUGUUUUCCCACCUCUGAGAUGUUGUUGUCAGGCUCUCGGCCCAGAUCUGUUGGACUCGUAGGGAGCUUCUGAAUACCUUAGAACCGAGACAGACAGGUCGGCUUAAUCAUUUUAGGUAAAAUGUGUAUUAUAUUCUUUCUCUCUUGCUGUCUUUCUUGGAUAUUUAGUCCUUGUUUCUUUCUUUUUUUUCCUUUUUUAUUUUCCAUAUUUUUUUCCAUAUUAACGCACGCACACACACACACACACACACACACACACACACUCACACACACACACACACACACACACACACACACACACACACACACACACACACACACACACACACACACACACACACACACCAUAUGUGCUUGAAAAACCCUACUUCUGUCUUUCUUUCAAUCCGUCUCUUUCCGUCCUUUAAUCAAAUCUAAACAAACCAAAUCAUGAGAAUAAAAUGUCUCUUGUUGAUGUUGGUGGUCUUUGAGUCCUGAGCUACGUCAGGGCAGUAUUAGUAUUCUCCCAGCAAUAGAAAGCAGUGUAAUCAUGCUAACAUCUAUCAGUCAGGCCGGGGCAGCGUUCUGUUGGUGUUUUUAAAGCCCACACCUUCAACAGAGACAUUUCACCUCUUAUCUCCCCACGGGCCCGUAAACACGCCUCUGUUGUGAGAGAAGCUCCUGGAACAUUCUGCUUCGUUCCAGAAACCACAACAGAACCUUUAACAGACAUAGCGAUGGACAGCCUCCCUGACCCCGACCUCAGACCUCAUGAACAUCAAAAGUCAAAGUCAGCUUAAUUUAAAAUUCCAAAAAUAAGAAAAAAAGACAAAUAGAGGGAUCAAAAUUGUGUUUAUCAAUGACCUACGGUGCAACAAGUAGAAAAGGAUAAAAUUAGGUAAAAUGAAAGAAGUAAUCUUUAUGAUAAAUUAAUUCUAAAUAGUGCAAAGUAAUUCCGAACGUACGGGGUAAGGUUGGGUCUAAACGGGCACAGAGGUUUGAGAUUCAAGAGCAACAACUGUGAGGGUAGUUUGUGUGUCCGCUGUGAGGGAGGGAAUCGCUCUGUGAGUGUAACGGUUCUGGUUGAAGGCACCGCUGCCUCUGCAUGGAACCUAGGGGAGGAGAGAGAGAGCAUAUUUUGAGGUUGUUCAAUUUUUUGUCAAAUUCCUCCACUCUGUUCUGCUCUCUCUUUACUGCGGUCCAAUGUGUCCCUGAAGAGGGUGGUUUUGUGGGGUCAGAGUGGGGGGGGCGGGGUCCUAGCCUGGCUAUACCCAUGCUGCCUUGCGCGCAAUUUCAUUUGGCGCUUCUAGGCAGCCUGGAUUCCAUGGAUCCGAUUUUCGCCUGAGAUAAGGAACCAGUCACAGAACGGGGAGGGACGGCGAGACGAGGACCACGUCUAUUCGACACACCCAUCGUCCUGUUCCUCGUCUAAUUUCUGUCGCUUCACAUCCGUCAUCUGGUAUAAAUGAUGCGAUUGGCUAUGAGCUACGUACAGACUCAUAUGAUAGACAUCCGUAGCGCCCAAUAAACGGCUCCGGGCAAUCGUAAACCACGCCUCAAAUAUGAGAAAAUGAUUGUGUGGUUCCCCAGACCUCAUCUCAAUGUAGAUUGAGAUGAGGUCUGGGGUUAGUCAGGCUAGGGGGGGUCCAGACCUGGACGGGCUCCUGAACACUGAGGUAAUGACCACACCCUGUAGCUGAUAUCCUGGGACGGACUGGAUCCUCAAAGGCACCCGGGCACAGUUCCCUGAUUCGCUUCCUCAUUUAUUUAUUUAUUGGUUUAUUUCGGGGACAUUGCACACUAAUCAACAGUCAAACUGUAAGUGAGCCAGAGUUAGCCUAAGAGGCUCGUUUACAUCCGUUGUCCCCUGCCAGAUAUUCAAAAGGCAACCUAAAAUCACAGAUUACAUUCUAGCGGUUCUACGCCAGACUGUCCAUAACGAUUAGGAUAACACGUCUAGUAGUAGUGGUCGUAGAAUUAGAAUUUUUGAGAAUGACUGAGAUACAUAAUGCAUGAUAUCUUAUCAUAACUGAUCAUAACUGAUGCGCUGUGCUCCCUUGUUGCCCCUUCCUGUGCAAACAGACGAUACAGCACAUUGACUCUCUCCCCAAUGCGCUGUGUGUGUGUGUGUGUGUGUGUGUGUGUGUGCGCGCGCGUGUGUGCAUGUGUGUGUACGCGUGCAUGUGUGUGUGCUAGCUGGCGCACGUGUCUGUGUGCAAGCAAUCACCUUUUUUUUUUUCAAAUACUCUUUAAUACAUGCAAACCUACUCAAAUUAAAUCUUAAAUGAAAAGCUUUAAGACGAGCACUUAAUCAACUUCACUAAUUACUACUGCAGUAUAAUUCAACAACGUUUCGAUUAUACCCUGCAGAUGCCAUGUUUGCGGUGGGACUGUGGGGUGUGUCUGGAGGAUGGCUGAUGAAGCAGCCUCAUCUGGCCUGUAGUCUGAUUGGACCCGGCUGGGUGGGGCUGCACACCUGUUACACGCUGUUUGAACAGGUUAAACCAGCCAUCUCCACACACUCUCCCAGGGGAUAUCUUUAAACAUGAAUAUUCAUAUUUAAGCCCCUCCCCCUUGGGUUUAACAGUUGGAUUUCGGUGACUCCCUUGCUCUGCAUUGACUCAUCGCCAGAGUAGUCGUGUUAAUUACUACUACCUAUGACAAUGCUACCUUUGUAGCAAAGAGCUAGUGAGCGUUCAGGUGCUUUGAAGACUUAAUCUUUGCUGGAUGAAGUCACAUCUUUUAGAUUCCUCUCCCCUCUCUCUGCCCUUCCGUGGAAAGCCAUGACUGUAGUGUCAAACUGUAGUGAACAUUUCUGCGUUUAAUACCGACCACUAGUGGUGGGUCCAGCUCCUCCACAAAACGUUUUAUUGACGUUUUAAGAGCUUUUUAAAUGGGCUUUUGCUUCCUGUGCGUUGAGUCAUCGUGCCUGUGUCUGUGUGUGUGGUGGUGUCUGUGUGAGUCUGUCUGCCUGAUGCUUUCCGUCUUCCACCCGGGGCCAAGGCAGAAUAACCCAAGCAGCGAGAAUAACCCUCUCUUGUUUGAGUGUAUAACUCAGUCUGGAGGGCGUCUGGUCCCCAUUAGCUCGCCGUCAGUAGGAAUCAGUGAGCAUUACGUUUGUCAGCUCCACUCUCCUGACGACGACUCCUGGACCUGGUCCAGACGCGUGGACCCGGUCCAGAGCUGUGGACCUCCAGCCUCGCUGAUCUCAUUACAUAAUCAAAUUCAAGCCCCCCUGGAUCCUGUCGUUUACAAGUGUAAAACAACACAUCCGCUAUUGUUUUCUCCUAGAUGUGGUGUAUGUCUGCUCUUUGCGCUGUGUUUUGUCUGGGGCAGACAGGAUGGGUUCAAGUGGAAACAGGCUUCUGGGAUACUUUGAGAGAGUCUAGUUGAGGGACUGAGUUUUGAUCUGAGCUUUUUUUUAAAAUGACAAUAGGGGUCGCUGUUUCUACAGCUACCGACCCCCUCAGAUUAAUUGUUUUGGGCCAAACUUUCUUUUGCCAACAAAGGGGUGAGGCUUUACGAGAACUCGGACUGAAAGUUUGGAAAGAAACAGCCCUUUUCCAAUGACUUUGCCAUUUUGAAAAUCUUUUAUAUUUUUUUUUAUUGGUUCGUGGGGUCGGCUUAGCUCAGGAGGUAGAGCAGUUGUCUCGUAACCGAAAGGUUACUAGUUAGAUCCCCAGCUCCUCCUAGCUGAGUGUUGAUGUGUCCCUGAGCAAGACACUUAACCCUGACUGCUCCUGACGAGCUGGCUGUCGCCUUGCAUGGUUGACUUUGCCGUCAGUGUGUCAAUGUGUGCAUUAACCGAUGUAAGUCGAUGUAAAUGCCCUAAUUGUAAUUGUGUAGGCUUGUGUUUCUGAGUCAGAUAGCCAACACAAGGCACUGUUUGAUUGAUUAAGAUUGUCCUGAUUCUGUAGCACAUUGUUAACUAAUAGACUGUGUAGGAAGCACCUUGGAUGAAAACAAAGGUUUCAAAACGUCAGUCGCACACAGACGGGUGUGGCCGGUGCGUUGCGCUGUGCCAGACAGCAGGGUAUAGUGUAACAACAACAACAAUGUCACCUUCUACCGGUCGCAAUUCAUACCUGAAAUACUUCACAGUCUAGCCUGGCCACACCUUACUGUGUCUUCAACAAUGAAGUUGGCACAUGACCCCUGAGAUGAGGAGAUUCUCUUGACUGUUGUGUCUCCCUAGCAUGCUAACGCCGUUAUCUCCUGUGUUCUUGUGUCUUCGUCUCCUCUAG